rnacentral:rRNA from 1 species
GUCAUAUGCUUGUCUCAAAGAUUAAGCCAUGCAUGUCUCAGUACAAGCCAAAUUAAGGUGAAACCGCGAAAGGCUCAUUAAAUCAGUUAUGGUUCCUUAGAUCGUACCCACAAUUACUUGGAUAACUGUGGUAAUUCUAGAGCUAAUACAUGCAAACAGAGCUCCGACCGGAGACGGAAGGAGUGCUUUUAUUAGAUCAAAACCAAUCGGUGGCGGGUUCGCUCGUUAUCGUACAACUUGGUGACUCUGAAUAACUUUACGCUGAUCGCACGGUCAUCGCACCGGCGACGCAUCUUUCAAAUGUCUGCCUUAUCAACUGUCGAUGGUAGGUUCUGCGCCUACCAUGGUUGUAACGGGUAACGGGGAAUCAGGGUUCGAUUCCGGAGAGGGAGCCUGAGAAACGGCUACCACAUCCAAGGAAGGCAGCAGGCGCGCAAAUUACCCACUCCCGGCACGGGGAGGUAGUGACGAAAAAUAACGAUACGGGACUCAUCCGAGGCCCCGUAAUCGGAAUGAGUACACUCUAAACCCUUUAACGAGGAUCAAUUGGAGGGCAAGUCUGGUGCCAGCAGCCGCGGUAAUUCCAGCUCCAAUAGCGUAUAUUAAAGUUGUUGCGGUUAAAAAGCUCGUAGUCGAAUUUGUGUCUCGCGCCGCCGGUUCAUCGUCCGCGGUGUUAACUGGCGAGUCGCGAGACGUCCUGCCGGUGGGCCGCUAGCUCGCGAGGGCUAGUAGCGCCCAACUCAAUCCUGCCGCGGUGCUCUUCAUUGAGUGUCGAGGUGGGCCGGCACGUUUACUUUGAACAAAUUAGAGUGCUUAAAGCAGGCUAAAACUUCGCCUGAAUACUGUGUGCAUGGAAUAAUGGAAUAGGACCUCGGUUCUAUUUUGUUGGUUUUCGGAACCCCGAGGUAAUGAUUAAUAGGAACGGAUGGGGGCAUUCGUAUUGCGACGUUAGAGGUGAAAUUCUUGGAUCGUCGC